rnacentral:rRNA from 1 species
AGUGAACGCUGGCGGUAGGCCUAACACAUGCAAGUCGAACGGCAGCACAGUAAGAGCUUGCUCUUACGGGUGGCGAGUGGCGGACGGGUGAGGAAUACAUCGGAAUCUACUUUUUCGUGGGGGAUAACGUAGGGAAACUUACGCUAAUACCGCAUACGACCUACGGGUGAAAGCAGGGGAUCUUCGGACCUUGCGCGAUUGAAUGAGCCGAUGUCGGAUUAGCUAGUUGGCGGGGUAAAGGCCCACCAAGGCGACGAUCCGUAGCUGGUCUGAGAGGAUGAUCAGCCACACUGGAUCUGAGACACGGUCCAGACUCCUACGGGAGGCAGCAGUGGGGAAUAUUGGACAAUGGGCGCAAGCCUGAUCCAGCCAUACCGCGUGAGUGAAGAAGGCCUUCGGGUUGUAAAGCCCUUUUGUUGGGAAAGAAAAGCAGCAGGUUAAUACCCCGCUGUUCUGACGGUACCCAAAGAAUAAGCACCGGCUAACUUCGUG